rnacentral:rRNA from 1 species
CACGUAGUUAGCCGGGGCUUCUUAGUCAGGUACCGUCUUGUCUCGUUCCUGCUGAUAGAGCUUUGCAUACCGAAAUACUUCUUCACUCACGCGGCGUCGCUGCAUCAGGGUUUCCCCCAUUGUGCAAUAUUCCCCACUGCUGCCUCCCGUAGGAGUUUGGGCCGUGUCUCAGUCCCAAUGUGGCCGUCCACCCUCUCAGGCCGGCUACUGAUCGUCGCUUUGGUAGGCCGUUACCCUGCCAACUGGCUAAUCAGACGCGGGUCCAUCCCAUACCACCGGAGUUUUUCACACAGGAGCAUGCGCUCCCGUGCGCUUAUGCGGUAUUAGCACCUGUUUCCAGGUGGUAUCCCCCGGUAUGGGGCAGGUUACCCACGCGUUACUCACCCGUCCGCCACUAAGAUACAUCCUUCCGGAAUGCAAGCACUCCUUCUUAAUGCAUCCCCGUUCGACUUGCAUGUGUUAAGCACGCCGCCAGCGUUCAUCCUGAGCCAGGAUCAAA